AAAUUGAAGAGUUUGAUCAUGGCUCAGAUUGAACGCUGGCGGCAGGCCUAACACAUGCAAGUCGAACGGUAACAGGAAGCAGCUUGCUGCUUUGCUGACGAGUGGCGGACGGGUGAGUAAUGUCUGGGAAACUGCCCGAUGGAGGGGGAUAACUACUGGAAACGGUAGCUAAUACCGCAUAACGUCGCAAGACCAAAGAGGGGGACCUUAGGGCCUCUUGCCAUCGGAUGUGCCCAGAUGGGAUUAGCUAGUAGGUGGGGUAAUGGCUCACCUAGGCGACGAUCCCUAGCUGGUCUGAGAGGAUGACCAGCCACACUGGAACUGAGACACGGUCCAGACUCCUACGGGAGGCAGCAGUGGGGAAUAUUGCACAAUGGGCGCAAGCCUGAUGCAGCCAUGCCGCGUGUAUGAAGAAGGCCUUCGGGUUGUAAAGUACUUUCAGCGGGGAGGAAGGGAGUAAAGUUAAUACCUUUGCUCAUUGACGUUACCCGCAGAAGAAGCACCGGCUAACUC
rnacentral:rRNA from 1 species